rnacentral:tRNA from 2 species
GUGGUUGUAGCUCAGUUGGUUAGAGCACCGGAUUGUGGUUCCGGGGGUCGUGGGUUCGAAUCCCAUCAUCCACC